rnacentral:rRNA from 1 species
GACGAACGCUGGCGGCGUGCUUAACACAUGCAAGUCGAACGAGUGGCGAACGGGUGAGUAAUACGUGGUAACCUGCCCAUUACUGUGGGAUAACCUGCCGAAAGGCAGACUAAUACCGCAUAGUAAUGGAUGGGGAUGCGUCUGAUUAGCUUGUUGGCGGGGUAACGGCCCACCAAGGCGACGGUCUCUAGCUGGUCUGAGAGGAUGAUCAGCCACACUGGGACUGAGACACGGCCCAGACUCCUACGGGAGGCAGCAGUGGGGAAUAUUGCACAAUGGGCGCAAGCCUGAUGCAGCCAUGCCGCGUGUAUGAAGAAGGCCUUAGGGUUGUAAAGUACUUUCAGCGGGGAGGCGUUACCCGCAGAAGAAGCACCGGCUAACUCCGUGCCAGCCGCCGCGGUAAUUC